rnacentral:rRNA from 1 species
ACUCCUACGGGAGGCAGCAGUGGGGAAUUUUGGACAAUGGGCGCAAGCCUGAUCCAGCAAUGCCGCGUGCAGGAAGAAGGCCUUCGGAUUGUAAACUGCUUUUGUCAGGGAAGAAAUCUUCUGGGCUAAUACCCCGGGAGGAUGACGGUACCUGAAGAAUAAGCACCGGCUAACUACGUGCCAGCAGCCGCGGUAAUACGUAGGGUGCGAGCGUUAAUCGGAAUUACUGGGCGUAAAGCGUGCGCAGGCGGCUUUGCAAGACAGAGGUGAAAUCCCCGGGCUCAACCUGGGAACUGCCUUUGUGACUGCAAGGCUAGAGUACGGCAGAGGGGGAUGGAAUUCCGCGUGUAGCAGUGAAAUGCGUAGAUAUGCGGAGGAACACCGAUGGCGAAGGCAAUCCCCUGGSCCUGUACUGACGCUCAUGCACGAAAGCGUGGGGAGCAAACAGGAUUAGAUACCCUGGUAGUCCMCSCCCUAAACGAUGUCAACUGGUUGUUGGACGGCUUGCUGUUCAGUAACGAAGCUAACGCGUGAAGUUGACCSCCUGGGGAGUGCGGCCSCAAGGUUGAAACUCAAAGGAAUUGACGG